UUGCAGUGAUGUCUUGAAUUUCUUCACCUGAACUUUGUGUAGAACGCAUUUUUUGUUGUUUAACUGAGCAAA
rnacentral:snoRNA from 1 species